GCAUCUUGGUCCCCUCUUCCAGACGAUCGUUACAGAUCCUGUGAAGGAGUAGGAGUUUUCUGGGGAGACCAAGUGUACGGUGGAGGAUGUGGUUUACUGGAAUAAAGGAACUGAUGAUUUCAACAAGGAUUGAACCAAAGACCAGGAUUGAACCAAAGACCAGGAUUGAACCAAAGACCAGGAUUGAACCAAAGACCAGGAUUGAACCAAAGACCAGGAUUGAACCAAAGACCAGGAUUGAACCAAAGACCAGGAUUGAACCAAAGACCAGGUUUG